UACGUAGGCAGCGAGCGUUGUUCGGAGUUACUGGGCGUAAAGGGUGUGUAGGCGGUUGUUUAAGUUUGGUGUGAAAUCUCCCGGCUCAACUGGGAGGGUGCGCCGAAUACUGAAUGACUUGGAGUGCGGGAGAGGAGAGUGGAAUUCCUGGUGUAGCGGUGAAAUGCGUAGAUAUCAGGAGGAACACCGGUGGUGUAGACGGCUCUCUGGACCGUAACUGACGCUGAGGCACGAAAGCGUGGGUAGCAAACAGG
rnacentral:rRNA from 1 species